GUGCUCACUUCAGCACAUACACUAAAGUUGGACAAAACAAGAUUCGUGUGGCACCUGUGCAAGGAUAAUACACAAAUUCAUGAAAUGUUCUGUAUUUUU
rnacentral:snRNA from 1 species